UCGAGAAUAAUUCGCAAUGGGCGAAAGCCUGACGAUGCGACGCCGCGUGAACGAUGAAGGCCUUCGGGUUGUAACGUUCUGUUGACCUGAAACAAGAGUAGCCGUCGAAUAGGUGGCUACGAUGAGGGUACAGGUAGAGGAAGCACCGGCUAAUUCCGUGCCAGCAGCUGCGGUAAUACGGAAGGUGCAAGCGUUAGUCGGAAUUACUGGGCGUAAAGGGUGCGUAGGCGGUACUGUAAGUCGGGCGUGAAAUUCCGGAGCUUAACUUCGGAACGGCGUUCGAUACUGCAGUUAUAGAGGAAUGGCGGAGAGGAUUGAAUUCCAUGUGUAGCGGUGAAAUGCGUAGAGAUUAGGAAGAACACCAGUGGCGAAGGCGAUUCUCUAGCCUCCUCCUGACGCUGAGGCACGAAAGCAAGGGGAGCAAACA
rnacentral:rRNA from 1 species